CCUUAUUGAUGCAUAUUAACAGAUUACAAAAACAGUGGUGUGAAACAUCACACAUUUGUUGUCUCACAGUUCUGUGGAUCAGAAUUCUAGAAGGAUGUGGCUGCGCUCUCUGCUGACAGAAUUGGUCGGGGAUAGACGUGCUCAAAGCAGGCAAUGAAAUCAUCCACUGAAGCAUGUGUGGUCCACGGUGGAGCUGGUGUUUGAAUCUUCCGCUGCCUUUCCUCAGGCUGUGCCUUUAUUGCUUCUGCUCACACCUGGAAUAGGAUUUGAGUGGAAAUGUGAUUGGAGUAGAAGGCAUCAGGGAGGGUUAGUUAUUCUUGGAAACUGUUAUUUACCCAUUUGAUAAAUAUUUACUGAAUGACUUCUCUGUCAGGCCCUUGUGGAGGCACUGGGGAGAUGGGGCGAACGGGUGGACAGAGUGCCCCCUCUCUGGAAGAUGAGCUUCUGGCACGAGAGCCAGACAUUUUACAGAUAAUCAUAUAAAUAGAUUUUAAUUUUGGCUGUGAUAAAUUUUAUUUAAUAUUUCUGUGUUCCUUGGUCCCAUGGUGUCAGCCAGGUGUGAAAACUGACUGAAUAUUAAUAAUAGGACUAAAGAACUGUGGUAAAAGAUUUGUCCCUGGAAAGGUUCUUCAGCCGUUUUUGUUUGAACAGUGGAAAUCCUCAUGUUUGAUCCAUUGGCUCCUGAAAUUCAGCCGUGGGUUCCUGGAGGGUGUGGCAGGCACUCUGGACGGGAAGCUUGUGACCAAGGCUUAUGUGGGGGCUCUGCUGUUGUCAAGCGUUGAGGGAGUGUGGGAAAAUCUCCUAUUCCCUCCGGGCCUCACUUUCCCCGUCGGAGCCUGAGCUGAGACCACAUCUUGAAAACACAGAUUUGAGGGAGCAGGUGGAAGAAAGAAAGUCAGCAGGCUUGGAGG
rnacentral:lncRNA from 1 species